AUUGAACGCUGGCGGCAGGCUUAACACAUGCAAGUCGAGCGGAGAUGAGGUGCUUGCACCUUAUCUUAGCGGCGGAUGGGUGAGUAAUGCUUAGGAAUCUGUCUAUUAGUGUGGGACAACAUUCCGAAAGGAAUGCUAAUACCGCAUACGACCUACGGGGGAAAGCAGGGGAUCUUCCGAACUUGCGCUAAUAGAUGAGCGUAAGUCGGAUUAGCUAGUUGGUGGGGUAAAGGCCUACCAAGGCGACGAUCUGUAGCGGGUCAGAGAGGAGGAUCCGCCAGGAUGGGACUGAGACACGGCCCAGACUCCUCCGGGGGGCAGCAGUGGGGAAUAUUGGACAAUGGGCGGAAGCCUGAUCCAGCCAUGCCGCGUGUGUGAAGAAGGCCUUUUGGUUGUAAAGCACUUUAAGCGAGGAGGAGGCUACCUGGAUUAAUACUCUAGGAUAGUGGACGUUACUCGCAGAAUAAGCACCGGCUAACUCUGUGCCAGCAGCCGCCGUAAUAC
rnacentral:rRNA from 1 species